rnacentral:lncRNA from 1 species
AACAUACUGAGGGAAAGGGCCGCUCGGAAAGAUCUAGGAAUGAACACCCAUCCUCACACCCCAGGAGUGCCUUGGUUUCAGAAAGCAGCUGGAACAUUAAUGGCAAUUCCACUUUCCCAUUCAUCGCCCCCGCCCCCACCACCCCACCAAGAAACUCAGUGGGAAUGAAUGGUCUACACAGAGAAACUGAAAUCUGGUUAGUCAAGAAGGAAAAAACAACCAAGUGCCUGGCAUUAAGAGGAUUUUUUUUUUAAGCUCAGCCUAUGGACAACAAAAGCAUGGACUGUAUUUCUCAGCAUCUUUUGCAGCUUAUUGUUGAAAGUCCAGUGAGCUACCUCAGGCUUUUCUCUGUGGAAUGACUGUUGCAGAGAACUGCACCUCAGAAGAAUGGAGUUUAAAACUGUGAUGACAUUCUACCUCAUUGAAGAAAUCCUCCAGUGCCAAGGGUGGAUCUCUAAAGAAGGAUUCAAUCCAGGAUCACAUCUUAUAUUUACAAUAACAUGCCUUUUUUCUCCUUCAGUCUGGAACCGUGUCUCAGUCUAUCUUUGUUCUUUAUGACAUUGACAUAUUUUAAAGAAUAAAAGCCAAUUCUUUUAUGCACCAUC